UUGCCCGAUGAUUAUAAAAAGAUGCGUUAAGAGGACUUAAUGCUGGAAUUCUUUACCUUCUUUUUCUCUUUUCUGUACUGUUUUUUCUUUCUUUUGUAUAUCCAGCGUCCUAUGAGCGACGAUUAUGAGAUAUGAGGGCAA